GUAUAAGCACUUUAUACUGUGAAACUGCGAAUGGCUCAUUAAAUCAGUUAUCGUUUAUUUGAUAGUACCUUACUACAUGGAUACCUGUGGUAAUUCUAGAGCUAAUACAUGCUAAAAACCCCGACUUCGGAAGGGGUGUAUUUAUUAGAUAAAAAACCAAUGCCCUUCGGGGCUCCUUGGUGAUUCAUAAUAACUUAACGAAUCGCAUGGCCUUGCGCCGGCGAUGGUUCAUUCAAAUUUCUGCCCUAUCAACUUUCGAUGGUAGGAUAGUGGCCUACCAUGGUGGCAACGGGUAACGGGGAAUUAGGGUUCGAUUCCGGAGAGGGAGCCUGAGAAACGGCUACCACAUCCAAGGAAGGCAGCAGGCGCGCAAAUUACCCAAUCCCGACACGGGGAGGUAGUGACAAUAAAUACUGAUACGGGGCUCUUUCGGGUCUCGUAAUUGGAAUGAGUACAAUCUAAAUCCCUUAACGAGGAACAAUUGGAGGGCAAGUCUGGGGCGAGC
rnacentral:rRNA from 1 species